rnacentral:rRNA from 1 species
AUUGAACGCUGGCGGCAUGCCUUACACAUGCAAGUCGAACGGCAGCACGGGUGCUUGCACCUGGUGGCGAGUGGCGAACGGGUGAGUAAUACAUCGGAACAUGUCCUGUAGUGGGGGAUAGCCCGGCGAAAGCCGGAUUAAUACCGCAUACGAUCUACGGAUGAAAGCGGGGGGCCUUCGGGCCUCGCGCUAUAGGGUUGGCCGAUGGCUGAUUAGCUAGGUGGUGGGGUAAAGGCCUACCAAGGCGGCUAUCAGUAGCUGGUCUGAGAGGACGAGCAGCCAGACUGGGACUGGGACACGGCCCAGACUGCCACAGGGAGGAGCCGGGGGGAAAUUUGGGCAAUGGGGGAAAAGCUUAUCCAACAAGGCCGCGGGUGUGAAGAAGGCCGUCGGGUUGGAAAGGACUUUUGUCCGGAAAGAAAACCUUGGCCCUUAUAAGGGCGGGGGGAUGACGGUACCGGAAGAAUAAGCACCGGCUAACUACGUG